UGGGCAGUAGCUCGGCGAAAAGAGCGUUCGCCUGGUAUGCGAAAAGACCCGGCUUCGACUCCCGGCUGCCCCG
rfam:Toxocara canis scaffold750, whole genome shotgun sequence.